rnacentral:lncRNA from 1 species
GAAGAGCCAGCAAUGUUAAUUUAGAGACUAAAAUACAUUAUUCCUUUCCAAGGUGAAAAAAUAUGGCAGUAAUAGUCUGAAAUUCAAAAGCACCAGCAGGAAAAUUUGAAGAUAAAUAACUGUGAUUUUGACUGAUUGGAUGUAAAUGAAGCAUUUACAGAAGCUGUUCUCAAACAGGACAAUGGGCUACCUAGAAGACAUUUGCCAACUAAUGAACACAUAUCUUUGUCACAAUUGGUGUAGUGCUAUUGGCAUGUAGUGAGUAGAAGCCACAAAUCCCUUCUAUAGUGUUCCUUCUGUCUUAUAAUAGACCCC